ACGGAUAGGGUUAUAAACAUAAACACACACACUCUUUCACAUUUCACGUUUUGUUGAAAAUUUCAUAUCAAUUCUCCCUUUUGUUUUUGUUUUUUUGGUUUCUCUAUCUCUGAUGGAGAUUGACGGUUAAAUGAUUCAGUUACCGGCGGUCUCUAAUUCGCUUGGUGCAGGUCGGGAACUGAUUAGCUGUUUGUUUAGCCAGAUGGCGACUUGUCAUUGGUUGAUUCUAUCAGUUGAAUGGAAAAGCGAAUAAGAUCCCGCCUUGCAUCAACUGAAUCGGAGACCGAGGUGAGAGGA
rnacentral:miRNA from 1 species